UGGAGAAAGACUUGUUGAAAUUGGGUCCCAAAUGGGCUAAGAACUUGGAAACAUUGCGUUAAACCACUAAAUGACUUAUCUAGUGUUGUUUGGGGAUAUAAUAUGUUAGAAUACAAUAAAUAUGAUUUAUUAAAAGUACUAGAGAUGCAUGAAAAGUGUUUAGAAGUGUGGAGAAAGACAUGUUGAAAUUGGUUCCCAAAUACGCUAAGAACUCGCAAACAUUGCAUUGAACCAUUAAAUGACUUAUCUAGUGUUGUUUAGGGUUAGAAUUUGUUAGAAUACAAUAAAUUUGACUGGUUACAAGUGCUAGAGAUGCAUGAAGAGUGUUUUGAAGUGUGGAGAAAGACUUGUUGAAAUUGGGGCCAAAAUGGGCUAAGAACUCGGAAACAUUGCAUUGAACCACGAAAUGACUUAUCUAGUGUUGUUUCUGGUGAUAAUAUGUUAGGGUACAAUAAAUUUGAUUGAUGACAAGUGCUAGACAUGCAUGAAGAGUGUUUUGAAGUGAGGAGAAAGACUAGUGUUGUUUGGGGAUAUAAUAUGUUAUAAUACCAUAAAUAUAAUUGAUUACCAGUUCUAGAGAUGCAUGAAGAGUGUUUAGAAGUGUGGAGAAAGACUUAUUGAAAUUGGGUCCCAAAUAGGCUAAGAACUCGGAAACAGUGCGAUGAACCAUUAAAUGAUUUAUCUAAUGUUGUUU
rnacentral:lncRNA from 1 species